UCUGGGGUUAUUGUUGGGCUGGUCUGAGAUGACUCUUUAUUAUCAGACUACUUUAAUUUCGCCGUAGGCUUACACAGAUUGUUGACAUUAGCAAUUAGACUUUUUAUAUUAACUGUAUUACUUUGCAGUUUGGUUAAAGAAUGUGCUGCAUAAUCUGAGUCCCUGUUUGAAGAUUUGGUACUUGUUGUGUAAACUAUAUACCUUUAAAUAGUGGUUUAUUAAUGCUUUAAAUUAUAGGUUUCGAAUUCCUAGUUAGUUCAUAGUAUGGUUAAGUUAAUGUCGGAGGAUAUAGGCGUCCCGUUCGAACACAUUCUACUACGUUGUUGUGCUGCUUCAUUCAUGUAUUUAAUUUUUAAGGAUUAUUAGUCGGCCUUGGGUAUCUUUUGAUCUGUUAGAUUGAUAACUAUUGCUUCACAUGAAAUUAAAAUGGGAAUGGGCAUAUACAGUUACAGAAGUGUCUACAUCAACUGGGAUAUGAUUCAACAUUACUUUUUUAGGCUUUUUCAUAUAUUGAUUGUGAUGUGUGUGUGGUUGCAAUAAUCUCAUCUUUAUUUUAUUUAUUUUAUUUGGUUCUUCUAUUGGAUAUUUUCUUAAUAUCUUGGUUAGGCAUAUCCUACUACCCAUAUGGAUCACUUGGCUGCUUGAAACAUUGGUAUUGCAAAUUAUUUCUAAUUUCUAUAGACUUGUGGUGAAUUUUCUGAGAACAAUCACUGUCGCGACCGGAUAUUCAUUUUUUUUUUGUUGAUUUUACAGAAAGACUAAGACUAAGAGAUCCCAUUGUUCGGGGACAACUACGUAGAAUAUGACUGGAGGAAAGAGUGGCUCAUAAUGGAAGGAUACCUAUUAUCGUUGAUGAACAAUAUGGUGUACUUCUAGGAGAACAUCGAUCUGAUUUGGCCGGUGAAUGUCAUACGAUUAUUCAUGCUUUCGCUCCUAUGGGAUACAAGUCAUCGGAAACAAUCCCUGCGCAAGAUAGGGACAUAUUAAUUGAACAGCUAAAGUAGGAUAAUUUCAUACUAAACACCACAAGUCCAUAUGUUAGGAGAUUUCUGAAUUAUCGUAUGUCAAAAGGUUAUACCAACUUUAAGCGUGAAAUGCUGAUGCAUUUUAGAAAGUAUGCAAGUAUUGAAGAAGCGCGGGGUAAUCCUUUUGGAAACAUCUCACCAGCAAAUUGGUCUAGUUUGUGUGACCUCUUUGUUUUGGAGAGAAUUAAGAAGUGUCCUGAUUGUCAUGAGAAUUUUGAGGCUGUAAGGCCAUACAUUUUAAGGUUGAAGGGACGACAAAGUCUUCAAGGGCAUCCGUUGCCAGUUUCACAGGACGAAAAAAAUCAAUCUACACAUAAACAUAAAGAAGAUGGAAAGAAUUAAUGAAACCAACACAGGUUUUAGGCACAACGCACUCAGUUAAAUAUUGGUUCUUGAUCCAACUGAUUCCCAACCAUUUAAGAUCCAAAAGCUGCUUAGUGCUUAGUUUUGAUGUUACUCCUUGUUUUUAGUUAAAGUUGAAUGAGUAUUAGUUUUCUUCAGUA